GACGAACGCUGGCGACGCGCUUAACACAUGCAAGUCGAGCGGAAAGGCCUGCCUUCCCUUGUGGAUUGCGGGUACUCGAGUGGCGAACGGGUGAGUAACACGUGAGUGAUCUGCCCCCAACUUGGGUAUAAGCCUGGGAAACUGGGUCUAAUUCCCGAUAGGACUGCAGGGUGGUGCCUGUGGUGGAAAACGAUUUUCUAGUGGUUGGGGAUGAGCUCGCGGCCUAUCAGCUUGUUGGUGGGGUAAUGGCCUACCAAGGCGGCGACGGGUAGCCGGCCUGAGAGGGUGGACGGCCCCAUUGGGACUGAGAUACGGCCCAGACUCCUACGGGAGGCAGCAGUGGGGAAUAUUGCACAAUGGGCGGAAGCCUGAUGCAGCGACGCCGCGUGGGGGAUGACGGCCUUCGGGUUGUAAACUCCUUUCGACCGCGAGGAAGCCACCUGGUUGGAAGGGUGGUGACGGUAGUGGUAGAAGAAGCACCGGCUAACUACGUG
rnacentral:rRNA from 1 species